CUUGUAACCGGUUCCUCGGAGCUUCAGUGAGAGUCAAUUGAUGUGUAGUUCAGUUUGAUAUUAAUAAAUGCUUACAUGAUACGAAGUGCAUAAUUGAAGGAUUGAAGAAAUUUUAGCAAUGGCAGCCUAUUCUAGAUGAUAUAUCUGUGGUUAUUAUUAUUACAAGGAAACAAGGGUAAAAUCUUGAGUUAUCUUCACAGGUAGAAAGCAUAGAGAGCAUAGAGGACCAAGUCUCAUUUGUUAUCAUUUAGGGAUUAUGUUCAGUAAUAUAUAUACAACUUGUAAUACAUGUGAUGCUUUGAUGCAAGCCUACCACUUGUAAUAUCUACGGAGACUGAUGCACCACUAGAGCUAAUAAUUUCUUGAUGUCAAUUGGUUAUUUUUUCUAAUUACUACAUUGAUCAACAGAUCGACUUAUAAGAGUCAAGGUGGAGGAGGUUUCUGAAGAUGGCAAUGUUCAGACUCAAGGUGGGGUUGGGGGUGCGCUGCAAGGAAGGAAGAAAGGAGCAACCAUGACACCCGGCAAAUGUUCUAAGGAUGGCAAUGUUCAGACUCAAGGUGUUUCAUUACCGUCAACUUCCUAGUUAAGGUUCAAUGGCUGGAAUUGGAACAGGGGGGAAUUUUCUUUAUCUCCCUAGUUAAGGUUCCUUGUUAUUGGUGACAGGAACUUGAAGAAGAGAACCAUGGAUGACAACCUUCUGGAGUGCCUUCAAUCUGUGAACAUUUGUUUGGUCAAAUAAAUUCAGUUGUGAACUUACAGCCUGUAAUACUGAUGCUUUUCAUGAGUCUCAGUUGAACAUUUGUUUGAUCAAUUAAAUUGUAACUUGAUGUUUCAGUAGUAAAGUACUGCUAAGCAUUUUGUUUAA